rnacentral:rRNA from 1 species
UACGGAGGGGGCUAGCGUUGUUCGGAAUUACUGGGCGUAAAGCGCGCGUAGGCGGACCUGCAAGUCGGUGGUGAAAGCCCGAGGCUCAACCUCGGAACUGCCUUCGAUACUGCGGGUCUCGAGUCCGGGAGAGGUGAGUGGAAUUCCUAGUGUAGAGGUGAAAUUCGUAGAUAUUAGGAAGAACACCAGUGGCGAAGGCGGCUCACUGGCCCGGUACUGACGCUGAGGCGCGAAAGCGUGGGGAGCAAACAGG